GUUGUGAGGAUUCGUUCGACUACAUCUGUUUGUCUUCUUCAUGGACUCGUUCUUCUUCCUUGCGGGAUCUCAGGCAAGAUGACCAUACCCUCGAAAUCACUUCUAUCUUUGCUUGCUAGUUGUUCGCUCUAUUGCUAUGCCGCGUUACCUAUUCACUUGCUCUUCAAGCCUCCCAAAUCGCCAUGAACCUCUAACCUUUGUCACCUUCCUAGCAAACCGUUGUUUGGCUAUGUUACCGCUUUUGCUCAGCCCCUCUUAUAGCGUUGUUAGUUGCAGGUGAAGUUGAAGAUUGCUCCAUGUUGGAUUAUGUUUAUGUUGGGAUAUCACAAUAUCUCUUAUAUUAUUAAUGCAUCUAUAUAAUUGGUAAAGGGUGGAAGGCUCGGCCUUAUGCCUGGUGUUUUGUUCCACUCUUGCCGCCCUAGUUUCCGUCAUACCGGUGUUAUGUUCCUUGAUUUUGCGUUCCUUACGCGGCUGGGUGAUUUAUGGGACCCCCUUGACAGUUCGCUUUGAAUAAAACUCCUCCAGCAAGGCCCAACCUUGGUUUUACCAUUUGCUACCACCUAUCCCCUUUUCCCUUGGGUUCUGCAGACUCAAGGGUCAUCUUAUUUUAACCCCCCCGGGCCAGUGCUCCUUCGAGUGUUGGUCCGAAACGAGUAGACUGCGGGGCCACCUCGGGGAAACUUGAGGUCUGGUUUUACUCGUAGGAUGUCUCAUCCGGUGUUGCCCUGAGAACGAGAUAUGUGCAGCUCCUAUCGGGAUUUGUCGGCACAUCGGGCGGCUUUGCUGGUCUUGUUUUACCAUUGUCGAAAUGUCUUGUAACCGGGAUUCCGAGACUGAUCGGGUCUUCCCGGGAGAAGGUUUAUCCUUCGUUGACCGUGAGAGCUUAUAAUGGGCUAAGUUGGGACACCCCUGCAGGGUAUUAUCUUUCGGAAGCCGUGCCCGCGGUUAUGUGGCAGAUGGGAAUUUGUUAAUGUCCGGUUGUAGAGAACUUGACACUUGACCUUAAUUAAAAUACAUCAACCGCGUGUGUAGCCGUGAUGGUCUCUUCUCGGCGGAGUCCGGGAAGUGAACACGGUUUCUGGGUUAUGUUUGACGUAAGUAGGAGUUCAGGAUCACUUCUUGAUCAUUGCUAGUUCACGUCCGUUCCUCUGCUUCUCUUCUCGCUCUUGUUUGCUUAUGUUAGCCACCAUAUAUGCUUAGUCGCUGCUGCAACCUCACCACCUACCCCAUUCUUUCCUAUAAGCUUAAAUAGUCUUGAUCUCGCGGGAGUGAGAUUGCAGAGUCCUCGUGACUCACAGAUACUUCCAAAACAGUUGCAGGUGCGGAUGAGACCAGUGCAGGUGACGCAACUGAGCUCAAGUGGGAGCUCGAUGAAGAUCUUGUUCGUUGUGUUGUUUCUUUUCAUGUUGAUCAGUAGUGGAGCCCAGUUGGGACGAUCAGGGAUCUAGCAGUUGGGUUGUCUUCUUUUCUUUUGGUUCCGUAGUCGGACCUAUGUGUGUACUCUGAUUGAUGUAUGACUUAUUUAUGUAUUGUGUGAAGUGGCGACUGUAAGCCAACUCUUUAUCCCUUUCUUGUUCAUUAC
rnacentral:lncRNA from 1 species